rnacentral:tRNA from 1 species
GGAGACGUAUCGAAGUGGUCAUAACGGGGCUGACUCGAAAUCAGUUAGGGAGUGAUCCCCCGCGAGUUCGAAUCUCGCCGUCUCCGCCA